GACGUAGGGCGCGAGCGUUGUCCGGAUUUAUUGGGCGUAAAGAGCUCGUAGGUGGUUUGUCGCGUUGUCCGUGAAAUUCCCUGGCUUAACUGGGGGCGUGCGGGCGAUACGGGCAGACUGGAGUACUGCAGGGGAGACUGGAAUUCCUGGUGUAGCGGUGAAAUGCGCAGAUAUCAGGAGGAACACCGAUGGCGAAGGCAGGUCUCUGGGCCGAUACUGACG
rnacentral:rRNA from 1 species